UACGAAGGGGGCUAGCGUUGCUCGGAAUCACUGGGCGUAAAGCGCACGUAGGCGGAUUGCUAAGUCAGGGGUGAAAUCCUGGAGCUCAACUCCAGAACUGCCUUUGAUACUGGCGACCUUGAGUCCGGGAGAGGUGAGUGGAACUGCGAGUGUAGAGGUGAAAUUCGUAGAUAUUCGCAAGAACACCAGUGGCGAAGGCGGCUCACUGGCCCGGUACUGACGCUGAGGUGGCGAAAGCGUGGGAGCAACAGG
rnacentral:rRNA from 1 species